rnacentral:rRNA from 1 species
AUAAGCAGCUUGCAGACCCAUAAUGUCAAUAGAUGUGGUAGAAGUCGUCAUUUGGCGAGAAAGCUCAGUCUCAGGAGGAAGCGGAGCAGUCCAAAUGUUUUUGAGAUGGCAGCAACGGAAACCAUAACGAGCAUCAUCUUGAUUAAGCUCAUUAGGGUUAGCCUCGGUACGGUCAGGCAUCCACGGCGC